rnacentral:rRNA from 1 species
UACGAAGGGGGCUAGCGUUGCUCGGAUUGACUGGGCGUAAAGGGCGCGUAGGCGGAUAGUACAGUCAGGCGUGAAAUCCCGGGGCUCAACCCCGGAACUGCCUUUGAUACUGGGUAUCUCGAGUCCGGAAGAGGUGAGUGGAAUUCCGAGUGUAGAGGUGAAAUUCGUAGAUAUUCGGAGGAACACCAGUGGCGAAGGCGGCUCACUGGUCCGGUACUGACGCUGAGGUGCGAAAGCGUGGGGAGCAAACAGG